rnacentral:rRNA from 1 species
GACGAACGCUGGCGGCGUGCCUAAUACAUGCAAGUAGAACGCUGAAGAGAGGAGCUUGCUCUUCUUGGAUGAGUUGCGAACGGGUGAGUAACGCGUAGGUAACCUGCCUUGUAGCGGGGGAUAACUAUUGGAAACGAUAGCUAAUACCGCAUAACAAUGGAUGACACAUGUCAUUUAUUUGAAAGGGGCAAUUGCUCCACUACAAGAUGGACCUGCGUUGUAUUAGCUAGUAGGUGAGGUAAUGGCUCACCUAGGCGACGAUACAUAGCCGACCUGAGGGGGUGAUCGGCCACACUGGGACUGAGACACGGCCCAGACUCCUACGGGAGGCAGCAGUAGGGAAUCUUCGGCAAUGGGGGCAACCCUGACCGAGCAACGCCGCGUGAGUGAAGAAGGUUUUCGGAUCGUAAAGCUCUGUUGUAAGUCAAGAACGGGUGUGAGAGUGGAAAGUUCACACUGUGACGGUAGCUUACCAGAAAGGGACGGCUAACUACGUGCCAGCAGCCGCGGUAAUACGUAGGUCCCGAGCGUUGUCCGGAUUUAUUGGGCGUAAAGCGAGCGCAGGCGGUUUGAUAAGUCUGAAGUUAAAGGCUGUGGCUCAACCAUAGUUCGCUUUGGAAACUGUCAAACUUGAGUGCAGAAGGGGAGAGUGGAAUUCCAUGUGUAGCGGUGAAAUGCGUAGAUAUAUGGAGGAACACCGGUGGCGAAAGCGGCUCUCUGGUCUGUAACUGACGCUGAGGCUCGAAAGCGUGGGGAGCGAACAGGAUUAGAUACCCUGGUAGUCCACGCCGUAAACGAUGAGUGCUAGGUGUUGGAUCCUUUCCGGGAUUCAGUGCCGCAGCUAACGCAUUAAGCACUCCGCCUGGGGAGUACGACCGCAAGGUUGAAACUCAAAGGAAUUGACGGGGGCCCGCACAAGCGGUGGAGCAUGUGGUUUAAUUCGAAGCAACGCGAAGAACCUUACCAGGUCUUGACAUCCCGAUGUUAUUUCUAGAGAUAGAAAGUUACUUCGGUACAUCGGUGACAGGUGGUGCAUGGUUGUCGUCAGCUCGUGUCGUGAGAUGUUGGGUUAAGUCCCGCAACGAGCGCAACCCCUAUUGUUAGUUGCCAUCAUUCAGUUGGGCACUCUAGCGAGACUGCCGGUAAUAAACCGGAGGAAGGUGGGGAUGACGUCAAAUCAUCAUGCCCCUUAUGACCUGGGCUACACACGUGCUACAAUGGUUGGUACAACGAGUUGCGAGUCGGUGACGGCGAGCUAAUCUCUUAAAGCCAAUCUCAGUUCGGAUUGUAGGCUGCAACUCACCUACAUGAAGUCGGAAUCGCUAGUAAUCGCGGAUCAGCACGCCGCGGUGAAUACGUUCCCGGGCCU